UUGACCUCAAAUCAGGCAAG
rnacentral:rRNA from 1 species